UACGGGGGGGGGCAAGCGUUGUUCGGAAUUACUGGGCGUAAAGGGCUCGUAGGCGGCCAACUAAGUCGGUUGUGAAAUCCCGUGGCUUAACCGUGGGAACUGCAGUCGAUACUGAUGAGCUAGGAGUGCGGGUAGAGGGUGGCGGAACUCCGGGUGUAGCGGUGAAAUGCGUAGAUAGUCCGGAAGAACACCGGUGGCGAAGGCGGCCUGCUGGGCAGUUGCUGACACUGAGGCGCGGAAAGCGUGGGGAGCGAACAGG
rnacentral:rRNA from 1 species